AUGUUAUUAAUUGUAAUCAUAACAAAAGUUUAUUAUUAAAGUUCUCCAUUUCUUUAAAACCUAGGUGGGCAAGAUACUAAAUACUUUUCUUGGAAUAUGUCAUCUUGAUUGAAAACUACUAGGAUAUUUUUGAAAAAGUAGCUCAUUAGCUGGCCGGGUUGGAGUGCAGUGCAGUGGCACCAUCAUGGCUCAAGCAAUCCUCUUGCCUCUUGAGUAACUGGGACUACAGCUCAGCUAAAAUCUGAGUUCCUGCUUCAUAACCAGGAAAAAUUACACACAUAGACACAUUGAAAGUCGAGGAGAGUGGAAUAUAUUAAAAGAAAGCUCUCAGCAAAGAAAGGGGGUCCUGCCAACAGGCUCUCACCUCACAUAUUGAGUAUCAGACCACCACACAGGAGCUGAAGAGACCAGGCUUCUCCCUGCAUGAAGUGUGAAUUCCCGGUGUCUCCACCCCAUUUUCCCAGUGUACAGAAUCUCACUCUGUCACUCAGGCUGGAGUGCAGAGGCACAGUCACGAUUCACUACAACCUCAACCUCCUGGCUCAAGUGAUCUUCCCACCUUAGCCUCUCCAGUAGCUAGGAUUAAAGGUAAGUGCCACUGUUCCCCGCUAAGUUUUGUAUUUUCUGUAGAGACAAGGUUUCACCAUGUUGCCCAGGC
rnacentral:lncRNA from 1 species